ACCUGGCUGGCUUAGUCAGUAGAGCAUGAGACUCCUGAUCUUCAGGUUGUGAGUUCAAGUCCCAUGUUGGGUG
rnacentral:tRNA from 1 species